GAGUUUGAUCCUGGCUCAGAUUGAACGCUGGCGGCAGGCCUAACACAUGCAAGUCGAGCGGAUGAAGGGAGCUUGCUCCUGGAUUCAGCGGCGGACGGGUGAGUAGUGCCUAGGAAUCUGCCUGGUAGUGGGGAGUAACGUCCGGAACGGGACGGCUAAUACCGCAUACGUCCUGAGGGAGGAAAGUAGGGGAGUCUUCGGACCUCACGCUAUCAGAUGAGCCUAGGUC
rnacentral:rRNA from 1 species